UAACACGUAGGGGGCGAGCGUUGUUCGGAAUUACUGGGCGUAAAGGGCAUGUAGGCGGUCUUGUAAGCUUGGCGUGAAAGACCACGGCUCAACCGUGGGAUUGCGUUGAGAACUGCGAGGCUUGAGUGACGGAGAGGGAGCUAGAAUUCCUGGUGUAGGGGUGGAAUCUGUAGAGAUCAGGAAGAAUACCAAUGGCGAAGGCAAGCUCCUGGCCGAUGACUGACGCUGAGGUGCGAAAGUGUGGGGAUCAAACAGG
rnacentral:rRNA from 1 species